GGGACUUGUACUCGUUGCGGUGCAACGAUUACCAAAGA
rfam:Bacillus sp. WF146 contig281, whole genome shotgun sequence.